GACGAACGCUGGCGGCGUGCCUAAUACAUGCAAGUCGAACGCAGUGGGGACGGUUUAUUAACACGUGGGUAACCUCCCAUCAGAGGGGAUAACACUUGGCAACAGGUACUAAACCGAUACUGAUGGAUGGACCCGCGGUGCAUUAGCUAGUUGGUGGGGUAACGGCGCACCAAGGCCACGAUGCAUAGCUGACCUGAGAGGGUGAUCGGCCACACUGGGACUGAGACACGGCCCAGACUCCUACGGGAGGCAGCAGUAGGGAAUCUUGGGCAAUGGACGAAAGUCUGAUCGAGCAACGCCGCGUGAGUGAAGAAGGUGUUUGGAUCGUAAAACUCUGUUGUUAGAGAAGCGGUAUCUAACCAGAAAGCAACGGCUAACUACGUGCCAGCAGCCGCGGUAAUUC
rnacentral:rRNA from 1 species